rnacentral:rRNA from 1 species
UACGGAGGAUGCAAGCGUUAUCCGGAUUCAUUGGGUUUAAAGGGUGCGUAGACGGACUAUUAAGUCAGUGGUGAAAGCCUGCAGCUUAACUGCAGAACUGCCAUUGAUACUGAUAGUCUUGAGUUUGGUUAAGGUAGGCGGAAUGUGUAAUGUAGCGGUGAAAUGCUUAGAUAUUACACAGAACACCAAUUGCGUAGGCAGCUUACUGAGCCGACACUGACGCUGAGGCACGAAAGCGUGGGGAUCGAACA